rnacentral:sRNA from 1 species
AUAUCUCUCCGUACGGGAAGGAUGAGAAGCUUCGACUAAGGUUCGAUUCGAGCGAAAGCGAGAAAG